AGCGAACGCUGGCGGCAGGCCUAACACAUGCAAGUCGAACGAACCCUUCGGGGUUAGUGGCGGACGGGUGAGUAACACGUGGGAACGUGCCUUUAGGUUCGGAAUAACUCAGGGAAACUUGUGCUAAUACCGAAUGUGCCCUUCGGGGGAAAGAUUUAUCGCCUUUAGAGCGGCCCGCGUCUGAUUACCUAGUUGGUGAGGUAAUGGCUCACCAAGGCUACGAUCAGUAGCUGGUCUGAGAGGGUGACCAGCCACAUUGGGACUGAGACACGGCCCAAACUCCUACGGGAGGCAGCAGUGGGGAAUCUUGCGCAAUGGGCGAAAGCCUGACGCAGCCAUGCCGCGUGGAUGAUGAAGGUCUUAGGAUUGUAAAAUCCUUUCACCGGUGAAGAUAAUGACUGUAGCCGGAGAAGAAGCCCCGGCUAACUUCGUGCCAGCCGCCGCAGUAACAC
rnacentral:rRNA from 1 species